rnacentral:rRNA from 1 species
CCUACGGGAGGCAGCAGUGGGGAAUAUUGGACAAUGGGGGCAAGCCUGAUCCAGCCAUGCCGCGUGUGUGAAGAAGGCCCUCGGGUUGUAAAGCACUUUCAGUGAGGAAGAACGCCUGGUGGUUAAUACCCAUCAGGAAAGACAUCACUCACAGAAGAAGCACCGGCUAACUCCGUGCCAGCAGCCGCGGUAAUACGGAGGGUGCGAGCGUUAAUCGGAAUUACUGGGCGUAAAGCGCGCGUAGGUGGCUUGAUAAGCCGGUUGUGAAAGCCACGGGCUCAACCUGGGAACGGCAUCCGGAACUGUCAAGCUAGAGUGCAGGAGAGGAAGGUAGAAUUCCCGGUGUAGCGGUGAAAUGCGUAGAGAUCGGGAGGAAUACCAGUGGCGAAGGCGGCCUUCUGGACUGACACUGACACUGAGGUGCGAAAGCGUGGGUAGCAAACAGGAUUAGAUACCCUUGUAGUC